GUGUUUGCUUCAGCAGCACAUAUACUAAACUUGGAACAAUACAAAGAAGAUGAGCAUGGCCCCUGCACAAAGAUGACACACAAACUCGUGAGGCGCUCCAUAUUUUG
rnacentral:snRNA from 1 species